rnacentral:rRNA from 1 species
UACGUAGGGGGCAAGCGUUGUCCGGAAUCAUUGGGCGUAAAGAGCGCGUAGGCGGCCCGAUAAGUCCGCUGUGAAAGUCAAGGGCUCAACCCUUGAAUGCCGGUGGAUACUGUCGGGCUAGAGUCCGGAAGAGGCGAGUGGAAUUCCUGGUGUAGCGGUGAAAUGCGCAGAUAUCAGGAGGAACACCGAUGGCGAAGGCAGGUCUCUGGGCAUUAACUGACGCUCAUGCACGAAAGCGUGGGGAGCAAACAGG